rnacentral:rRNA from 1 species
GACGAACGCUGGCGGCGUGCUUAACACAUGCAAGUCGAACGGUAAGGCUCCAGCUUGCUGGGGUACACGAGUGGCGAACGGGUGAGUAACACGUGGGUGACCUGCCCUGCACUUCAGGAUAAGCCUGGGAAACUGGGUCUAAUACCGGAUAGGACCAUGGUGUGGAUACUGUGGUGGAAAGUUUUUUCGGUGUGGGAUGGGCCCGCGGCCUAUCAGCUUGUUGGUGGGGUAAUGGCCUACCAAGGCGGCGACGGGUAGCCGGCCUGAGAGGGUGGACGGCCACAUUGGGACUGAGACACGGCCCAGACUCCUACGGGAGGCAGCAGUGGGGAAUAUUGCACAAUGGGCGGAAGCCUGAUGCAGCGACGCCGCGUGGGGGAUGACGGCCUUCGGGUUGUAAACUCCUUUCACCAUCGACGAAGGGUUUCUGACGGUAGAUGGAGAAGAAGCACCGGCUAACUACGUG